UGGCGGACGGGUGAGUAACGCGUACACAACCUGCCCUUAAGCGGGGGAUAGCCUCUGGAAACGGAGAUUAAUACCCCAUGUAUUCAACUCAACGCAUGUUGAGUUGAAAAAAGUUACGGCGCUUAGGGAUGGGUGUGCGUCCUAUUAGCUGGAUGGUGAGGUAACGGCUCACCAUGGCGAUGAUAGGUAGGGGGCGUGAGAGCGUGGUCCCCCACACGGGUACUGAGACACGGACCCGACUCCUACGGGAGGCAGCAGUAAGGAAUAUUGGACAAUGGGGGCAACCCUGAUCCAGCAAUGCCGCGUGAGUGAUGAAGGCCUUAGGGUUGUAAAGCUCUUUUACCCGGGAUGAUAAUGACAGUACCGGGAGAAUAAGCUCCGGCUAACUCCGUGCCAGCAGCCGCGGUAAU
rnacentral:rRNA from 1 species